UAGGGAAUCUUCCACAAUGGACGAAAGUCUGAUGGAGCAACGCCGCGUGAGUGAAGAAGGGUUUCGGCUCGUAAAACUCUGUUGUUAAAGAAGAACAUAUCUGAGAGUAACUGUUCAGGUAUUGACGGUAUUUAACCAGAAAGCCACGGCUAACUGCGUGCCAG
rnacentral:rRNA from 1 species